rnacentral:rRNA from 1 species
UACAGGGGGUGCAAACGUUGCUCGGAAUUAUUGGGCGUAAAGCGCGCGUAGGCGGUUACUCAAGUCGGAUGUGAAAGCCCUCGGCUUAACUGAGGAAGUGCACCCGAAACUGAGUAGCUAGAGUACUAAAGAGGGUCGCGGAAUUCCCGGUGUAGAGGUGAAAUUCGUAGAUAUCGGGAGGAACACCGGUGGCGAAGGCGGCGACCUGGGUAGAUACUGACGCUGAGGCGCGAAAGCGUGGGGAGCAAACAGG